rnacentral:rRNA from 1 species
AACGAACGCUGGCGGCAUGCCUAACACAUGCAAGUCGAACGAGACCUUCGGGUCUAGUGGCGCACGGGUGCGUAACGCGUGGGAACCUGCCCUUAGGUUCGGAAUAACUCCCCGAAAGGGGUGCUAAUACCGGAUAAUGUCUUCGGACCAAAGAUUUAUCGCCUUUGGAUGGGCCCGCGUUGGAUUAGCUAGUUGGUAGGGUAAAAGCCUACCAAGGCGACGAUCCAUAGCUGGUCUGAGAGGAUGAUCAGCCACCCUGGGACUGAGACACGGCCCAGACUCCUACGGGAGGCAGCAGUGGGGAAUAUUGGACGAUGGGCGAAAGCCUGAGCCAGCAAUGCCGCGUGAGUGAUGAAGGCCUUAGGGUUGUAAAGCUCUUUUACCCGGGAUGAUAAUGACAGUACCGGGAGAAUAAGCUCCGGCUAACUCCGUG